rnacentral:misc_RNA from 1 species
UCUCCGUUGGUGAACCAGCGGAGGGAUCAUUACCAGAGUGCCCUAGGCUCUCCAACCCAUUGUGAACUUACCAAACGUUCCCUCGGCGGGCUCAGCGCGCGGUGGCCUCCGGGCCUCCGGGCGUCCGCCGGGGAAAACCAAACCCCGAUUUAAUCGUAUUGCUCUGAGGGGCGAAAGCCCGAAAACAAAAUGAAUCAAAACUUUCAACAACGGAUCUCUUGGCUCUG